rfam:Glycine soja cultivar W05 scaffold363_38, whole genome shotgun sequence.
UGGAAGAAUCUGUAAAGCUCAGGAGGGAUAGCGCCAUGGAUGAUCUCUUCUCCACUCUUGAUCUUCUCUUGCGCUAUCCAUCCUGAGUUUCAUGGCUUCUAUCC